CUAAUUUUUGUAAGUAGGAUCAGCGCCCUGAAGCCAUCACUAUAUAAACUGCCACCUACUAAGGGCUGUUGCUUGCCUGGUCCUGCUUGAAGAGCAUUGCUGUGAAAUCUUUCUGAGAGCAGCAUCUCUUUGGCAUAGUUUUACACCAGCUGCCUGGCUCCAGUCUACACAGGACUCACGCCGAAGGGGAAAGGGGAGAGAACCUGAUCAUGUCAUGAAAGGCAGCUAGAAGAGUAUGGGAAAUACUCAGCUCUGGUUCUUGUCCUGAUUUCUCUCCAGCCUUUCCACUGCCAUUACAGCUCUGGUAUCCCAUAGCAAGUAAGAACAUAACAGUACAACUGUUCACACGUGGGAGAUGGAGGAACUGCAUCAAGAGCCCAUCAGAUAGGAAGGUGCUUUUUCUCCAGGAAGAGUCAAUGCAACAUCUUGCCUCAGAAGAAGCUUACGGGCCCUUCCUGGAUGCUGUUUUGUAAGAAGCACUGAUGAAUGCUUCCUGCUGUGAGAGGAGGACUCUCCCAUUAAAGAGGUGUUUUUCUCCUUCAGAGAUGGAAGUCUGUUUCAACAUGACACAACACAUUUGAUGGCACUGUCAYAUGAAGAAAAGCCUGAUACUUUACUGCACAGUCUGCUGACCUGAGUAACGCGAUCUGCUCAGAAGAAGUUGAGUGUGAAUUUAAGAAGCCGUUCAAGGGGUCAGGUGUUUGCCUAAUUUUCAGCAGCCUGAACGUGAAACAAAGGUGGGCCAGGUCUGCAGAGAUGUGGGGGUGACCUGGCUCUGCUCCUGCUCUGCCCCUGCUGUGCUCUGGCUCAUGGGAAGCUGUUCCAUGCAGGAGCCCGAGCGCUGCGCUGGUGUCACGGAUAAUGAGCCCCAUGGAGAGCAGAAUUGCACUGCGCUGCCUUAAUGUGGCAUUCUGGCUCCUGGAGCCGGCCAGCUUAGCCCAGGGAGGAGCUGCUGCCUCUUCUUGGGCAGUGUGGGAAGAUGCUCCCUUGGUAAAGCUUCCCCUGCUGUCAGCACCCGCUCUCCUUUUGCUAAGCCAUUUUACUGUAAUGAUGCCACCUCUCUCAAUGUCCUUCGUUGUUCUCCUGUCUGUCAUUCCCUGGGGGUCUGAUUAAAAUCGGUGGAAAGCUCUCUUGGAUUUUACUGGCUUUGGUACUUUGGCUCUGCUCCUUAAUGUGCCUUUCUCAUCUGUUUUUAACUGCUUUCUGUUAGGCUCACUUCUGCUGUGUUCUAAACAUUCCUCAUCUUUCCCCACUUUUGUAUUUUUGUACUUUUUUUCCUAUUCUUGACCUGCUCGACAACUGUUAAAUUACUUAGGCAGUGAGUAAAAUGAAGAUUAAAGAAAUGCUUUCAGCUUUGAGCUAAAAUGUGUUGACAGGACUCACAAGAGGCCUAGAGGACACAUGGGAGAGUAGCAUCAUUUUGGGGGAAGAAAAGCUAGAAAAAUGACUCUCAUCAGAUCUGAGGUUUCACCAUGAUUCUGUGGCAGCACUCCUGGCUGUCUUAAUGAGGUCAUGAAUCUGCUAGCAGUGUGUAGAAACAGUUUUAAUUGGUGAUAAUGUUAACACUUGUUUAACAAAAUUUAAGGUAGCUGGAAUAUGGUUUUAUCCGCACUAUACUGGUGUAAAUCAAAAGUAAUGUUAUUCAAACUUAUGUUCUUCUAGAAUAGCAGCACUUUAGCAGAAAUCAGAUUCUAAAGCACUCCUGAAUUUCAGAUAUUAUACUGUAUUUCCAUUUAUAACCUGACAUAAUUCCCACACAGCAUAUGGUAUUAAUCUGGUGUAAACACCAUGUUAUGAUGAUACUCAAACACAUACAGCUGACAUGAAAAUGUCUUCAAGUACAAUAUUUCCAAAAGUAAUUAUGUCUAUAUAGUUGGUAGUUAGCUCGUGUGAGAUUUUAUUUCUUAUUCAUACAUACAUGAAGGUUCGCAGAAUAAAACUUUAUAUAUAAAAAAGGAGAUAUUCUCACUCUUUGMAAAAAAGUAAGGAAAAAUCAAUAUAGUCUACUUAUUUUGGCCUGUCAGGCUUUCAUAAGGGAAUCUUACCUUUAUGUGAACACAGGAUUUUUGCASUUUUGGAAUUUUCUUUUGUUUGAUUUAGAGUAUAGACAUAUAGAUGAAUGCAAAGAAUACAGUGACACAAAGUGAAACUGAUGAUAUUUUGAUUAGAGAAAAUGAACUCCAAAAUAAAUAUUUAGGGAAAUUUUGCAAUUCUCAGCAAAGGUAAUACUCUUGAUGUGUGAAUGCCCCAGAAAUAAAUCUCUUCUGGUAAUCAAACAUUUUUCAAUGUUCUCUGAKGAAAGGGGUGGGACACCAGCAUCCCUUGUCCAGGUAGAUGCAUGUAUGAAACCCUUAAAAAAAUUGUCUGAGACUGGAGUUGAGCCAAUCAUUUUGUCCAAAGGAGAUCAAUAAAAACAUGUCUUUUGGAAAGUCAAUGCUUAUGGAUGGUAAUAUUUUUGCUUGAACACUUGCCAGCAGGGCCUGAUUCAUGGGUAGUGUAAAUGUUCUAGGGCCCUCUCACCUGUUUGAGAUGAAUUUAUUUAUUAGGAUGAAGUGUACCUUUUUCACAGAUUGCUUCUAACUCUACCUGCUACCUAGAGUUUCAAAAAUUUUAGCCUUUCAUAGCCCCUUUUAUUUCUACCUGACGAUCCUUUCUUAAAUACAUUCCUAAGACAAAGAAAAUAAGGCAACCUCAGUAUCACAUUUUCAAAACAAAAAGGAACUGCAAGAAACUGCUUAACAACCAGCUCUGCACUCGUUAGCUUCAGUAUAAAUCUGCAAUGACUUUAUUUUUAUUACUUCAUACUUGCACUACAGUGAAUAACAGUAGGUUAGGCUGUUGAUGGCAUUAUAAAAUGAGCAUUUCCAGCUCAUCYCUAUUAUCCACCACAAUAUCUUGGUUUUAAAAAAGAGACGGCUAAAAAAAAUUGCAACGGGACAAGAAUAAAUCUGGAAUAACUCCACUGAAAAUUUACACCAAGAAUUGAAUUUAGCCCACUUUGUUGAAUUCCUUUUAAUGGUUUCUGCAYGUUCAAGCAUCCACCAGAUAUUAGAUGGGAAGCAGCAGCCUCUCUGUUAUCUGCGAUCCAAGCAGGACACGCGGGGUGAAAGGGUAACGCAUUAUCGCUCUGCGCCACCUGGCCCAUCCAACACAAUUUGAACAACCAUAAUUGUAUUGAUUACUUCUUGUGCUCAUGACUAAUGACCUCUAGCUGCAACCUUGCAUUUUCUAAAUCUUUUAUAUUCUGAUUUAAUAAUAAGAUUUGAUUAGAAAUUGCCAUUAGCCAAUGCCAAUGAUUAGUCAGCAAGACUCAAUGCCGCCAAGUUCCAAUGAGUUUCAUUAUUCUGGAAUUAAAAAGCACAGAGAACUUCUCUGGGUUAAUAAUACAAUGAUUCUGUCUCAAUCAGGAAUGAAAGAAAACAGCUCUAAUAUACAAAUGCAGCAAAAUGUGUGGCUAUUACUAACAGCCACAUUUUACAGAGAAGUGUUUGAAGAAUUAAAGGGGCUUUGUCACAGAUGGUUGGGACAGUUUGCUUUUACUUUUUAUAUUUGAUUGGAAAGCCAGUGUCAGAUGGUGUG